UCUCCGUAGGUGAACCUGCGGAGGGAUCAUUACAAGUGACCCCUGGCUCCGGCCGGGGAUGUUCAUAACCCUUUGUUGUCCGACUCUGUUGCCUCCGGGGCGACCCUGCCUUUUCACGGGCGGGGGCCCCGGGUGGACACAUCAAAACUCUUGCGUAACUUUGCAGUCUGAGUAAAUUUAAUUAAUAAAUUAAAACUUUCAACAACGGAUCUCUUGGUUCUG
rnacentral:misc_RNA from 1 species